rfam:TPA: Bos taurus chromosome 10, whole genome shotgun sequence.
UCCCUGGUGGCUCAGACGGUAAAGCAUCUGCCUGCAAUGCGGGAGACCUGGGUUCGAUUCCAGGGUCGGGAA